rnacentral:rRNA from 16 species
UUGGUGAGGUAACGGCUCACCAAGGCAAUGACGGGUAGCCGGACUGAGAGGUUGGCCGGCCACAUGGGGACUGAGACACUGCCCUGACUCCUACGGGAGGCUGCAGUCGAGAAUCUUCUGCAAUGGACGAAAGUCUGACAGAGCGACGCCGCGUGGAGGAUGAAGGCCCUCGGGUCGUAAACUCCUGUCACAUGUUAAGAAAGGUACAGGUCUACCUGUGCUCUGACGAAUGCAUGAGAGGAAGUCACGGCUAACUUCGUGCCAGCAGCCGCGGUAAGAC